rnacentral:rRNA from 1 species
UACGUAGGAGACGAGCGUUGUCCGGAGUUACUGGGCGUAAAGGGUGCGCAGGCGGCCUGGCGCGUCGCGAGUGAAAUCUCCUGGCUCAACUGGGAGGUGGUCGCGAGACGGCUGGGCUUGAGGCUCGGUGAGGGGCGUGGAAUUCCGGGUGGAGCGGUGAAAUGCGUAGAGAUCCGGAGGAACACCGACGGCGUAGGCAGCGCCCUAGACGAGACCUGACGCUCAGGCACGAAAGCGCGGGGAGCGAACAGG